rnacentral:lncRNA from 1 species
UAACUUCUCUCUCUUUUAUAUAAAAACUGUUUUUUUCACUCUUAUCUUUUGUCUCCUUUUCUUUUUCUUUUGUAUCGUUCUCUCUUUUUUUAUCACUCAUUUUUUUGCUUUUCUUUUUUUCUACACUCUUUUCUUUAUCUUUUUAAUUUUUCUGCUCUCGCUCACUUUCUUGUGAUUUUUCGAUGGAACUCCUCAUUUUAAGCUGAUCAUCAUAGACUUGCUUGGGUGUUAGCGGAGCUAACGUCACCGUUCGUCCAGAAUGUUUGAAGGUGUACCUAUUGGUGUACUCAUCGUGAAUUGCACACUUGUCAGGGCCAUCCAAGAAGGAGAUGCCCCGCAUGCAUUGGUACCACAUCACACAACACCUCAUCUUGG